ACGAUCGGUGACGGCAGAAAGAGGAAACCCAACACGAUCACAGACUACAACCACAUGAAGUGUGGUGUAGACGUGUUGGACCAAAUGACAUGGAUGUAUUCUGUAAGAUCAGCAACACGCAGGUGGCCAGUAGCGGUUUUCUACAAUAUGCUGGACCUGGCGGCAGUGAAUGCCUA